UGCUGAGGUGUCGGGUGUGUCAUACCCAC
rnacentral:piRNA from 1 species